UGCGUUAGCAACAAUGGAAAUGGAGAAGAAAGAGGGAACCUGCUGGUCUAUAAAAACUUGUCUAAAAACAUGAGCAACCAUCUAGUUUUAAGCUGGAACUGCUGAAAGUCAUCAUUGCCUUUUUGACUGGUGUACUUUUUUCAGUAAUCGUGUGCUGUUUGGUCAAAAAUUGCUACAGUUUUUCCAGAAAAAAAACAGAAGAGCUCCAGAAAUUCUGAUGAGACUUUGGAGAUGGAGACACGUCAAAAUGAUAAACUGCAAUUCAUGUGAAACACUGCAGUUCUUACAGUACAGUUCUUCCCUGGAUUGUUGCUGGUG